UACUGGAAAGUUGAGCAAGGGCAGAAGAGAUGUCAACCUGGAAGCUGGAGGUGCCACGCGGAGCUGGGGAGCCCAGGGCCAAUCAGCAGGACUCACCUCCCUCUGGCUGGACCGGCUGAGAAACAAGGAAACCUCCUCCAGGCUCUGGGGCUUCAGGUCGUUCACGGCCAAAAGCUCCAAGUUCACGAAGCCAGGUCAUGCUGAGUCGGGGAUGAGGAAGGGUUCCCAUUUUAUUUUACAAACAGCAACAACAACUCCCAACAAGGUAGGUGGUACUCUUAACUGAAGCUGACUGGAAAAUCACUGGAUUGGAAUACAUAGUAUGAAAAGGCAAAAUGACCAAUAAUAUUAUCUUUAGGGAGAAGG